rnacentral:lncRNA from 1 species
UCUCUUGAUAUCAUACCAUGGCCAUGCUGCGCCUUAGUUGACAAUUGAUUUUUUUUUUUUUUGGACAAUUGAUCCCUUCAACAUCCUAACAAGGCAUCCAUCCAAUAGCCACUCUAGGUGUUCCAAAGUAUAGAAGAGCAUUACAACUUUUGAUAUAUGCAAAACUCUCCACCACGCCAUACCACACCCAUGCGGGCACCCUCUGCAACAAGCUUGCGGC